UAACAAAUUUUAGCAAGAAAAGAGAACAGGAGAUAAAGGUGGUCAGAGAGCUGCAUGGGGGUGAGAAAAAAGAUCUGUUGAGGGACAUAGGAGACAAAGGAGAGAGGAAAGGUCUACCUGUGGCUAUAGGGACACUGAGAUGAGAAAGGAACCUGCUUGGGGAGACCAAAAGGGAACACAGACACGUAGAUGGAGAGAGGUAGGGAGACAAAGGGAAGAAAGGGAGAGGGAGAGAGCGAGAUUGCAGGACUCAAGAAGAAACCUGGUAUGCUAAGUAGCAAGCUAGGCGUCUCUUCCCUGGCUCUGAUGUCCAGGAUG